CAGCCCUAAGGAGGCACAGCUUCUGCCAUAUGCUGCAGUGAUCAGGUUUCUCCGGAGCAUCCACUGGUAGACAUGAAGAUCUAAAUUUGUGUUCCACUCUUGAGAAGAGAUGAGAAAACUGAGGUUCGACAAGGUUAUGUAAUCUGCCCAAGUCACACAGCUGAACCAGUGCAGCAACUAGCCUAAGACUAAUUAUUCUCCACUACUGAAGCAAGACUCUUCUGAAGGUUUACCCAGUGUCCUGUGAAUUACAAGGUUUUUCAUUAUGGUUGGUAGAAGCAGGUACCAGCACUGGCUCUGUGUGAGUACUGGGUACUUGUUCCCUCUAGUUUAAUCCUUUCGCUUGUUCUUUUCUCCAGUCUCAUGUAGUUUCCUUAAAACACAUGCACGAAUGAGUACUCUGCUCAGUACUUGAGAGCAACGCUCUGCUGAUCUUCAAGGCUGUCUCUCUCUGCAGCUCUCAUCUUCAGGGUUUUGGCCUGUAAACUUUAGCCUCCUUGGUCUCCUUGAAUCUUCAGUUCCAUCUCCUCAACACAGAGACUCCGCCUUGUUUACCCCUCCUUGUGCCACUGCCUAGAAGCUCUCUCUGGGAAGUAUGCUGGGACAAUUUUAGGGUUUAAAUAAUUUUCUUCUAUCUCUCAGGGAUUAUGCUCUUUCAUUGCCUAAUGUGCAGUAUCUUAAAAACUUUUCAUCC